rnacentral:rRNA from 1 species
CACGUAGGGGGCAAGCGUUGUCCGGAUUUAUUGGGCGUAAAGAGCUCGUAGGCGGUUCGUCGCGUCGGCUGUGAAAACCUGAGGCUCAACCUCAGGCCUGCAGUCGAUACGGGCGGACUUGAGUACUGCAGGGGAGACUGGAAUUCCUGGUGUAGCGGUGAAAUGCGCAGAUAUCAGGAGGAACACCGGUGGCGAAGGCGGGUCUCUGGGCAGUAACUGACGCUGAGGAGCGAAAGCGUGGGGAGCGAACAGG